rnacentral:rRNA from 1 species
UGGGGAAUAUUGGACAAUGGGCGAAAGCCUGAUCCAGCCAUGCCGCGUGUGUGAAGAAGGUCUUCGGAUUGUAAAGCACUUUAAGUUGGGAGGAAGGGCAUUAACCUAAUACGUUAGUGUUUUGACGUUACCGACAGAAUAAGCACCGGCUAACUCUGUGCCAGCAGCCGCGGUAAUACAGAGGGUGCAAGCGUUAAUCGGAAUUACUGGGCGUAAAGCGCGCGUAGGUGGUUUGUUAAGUUGGAUGUGAAAUCCCCGGGCUCAACCUGGGAACUGCAUUCAAAACUGACUGACUAGAGUAUGGUAGAGGGUGGUGGAAUUUCCUGUGUAGCGGUGAAAUGCGUAGAUAUAGGAAGGAACACCAGUGGCGAAGGCGACCACCUGGACUAAUACUGACACUGAGGUGCGAA